AACGCACAUUGCGCCCCCUGGUAUUCCGGGGGGCAUGCCUGUUCGAGCGUCAUUAUCACCCCUCAAGCCCGGCUUGUUGUUGGACGCAGCGCGCACGCGCUCUUCCCAAAGAUAAUGACGGCGUCUGUGAGGACUCCUGUACACUGAGCUUUCGGGCACGUACUAGGCUAGAAGUCCAGACCCGGUCUCCGUCCGUGCGCCCCCCUCCCGGGGCGUGAGGACACUUUUUUACACCAAGGUUGACCUCGGAUCAGGUAGGAAUACCCGCUGAACUUAA
rnacentral:misc_RNA from 1 species